GCGGCCGUAGGCAAAUCGGCAAAGCCGCCGGUGCGAGAGACCGGUGUAUGAGGGUUCGAAUCCCUCCGGCCGCA
rnacentral:tRNA from 1 species